CAAUAGCGUAUAUUAAAGUUGUUGCGGUUAAAAAGCUCGUAGUUGGAUUUCUGCCGAGGACGACCGGUCCGCCCUCCGGGUGAGUAUCUGGCUCGGCCUGGGCAUCUUCUUGGAGAACGUAGCUGCACUUGGCUGUGUGGUGCGGUAUUCAGGACUUUUACUUUGAGGAAAUUAGAGUGUUUCAAGCAGGCACACGCCUUGAAUACAUUAGCAUGGAAUAAUAAGAUAGGACCUCGGUUCUAUUUUGUUGGUUUCUAGAUCUGAGGUAAUGAUUAAUAGGGAUAGUUGGGGGCAUUCGUAUUUAACUGUCAGAGGUGAAAUUCUUGGAUUUGUUAAAGACGGACCACUGCGAAAGCAUUUGCCAAGGAUGUUUUCAUUGA
rnacentral:rRNA from 1 species